GGGGGUAUAGCUCAGCUGGGAGAGCAGCAGACUGAAGUUAGCACUUAUUCUGAAGGUCCCGCGUUCGAUCCGCGGUACCCCCA